rnacentral:rRNA from 1 species
UACGGAGGGGGCUAGCGUUGUUCGGAAUUACUGGGCGUAAAGCGCACGUAGGCGGCUUUGUAAGUUAGAGGUGAAAGCCCAGGGCUUAACCCUGGAAUUGCCUUUAAGACUGCAUCGCUAGAAUCGUGGAGAGGUGAGUGGAAUUCCGAGUGUAGAGGUGAAAUUCGUAGAUAUUCGGAAGAACACCAGUGGCGAAGGCGACUCACUGCACACGUAUUGACGCUGAGGUGCGAAAGCGUGGGGAGCAAACAGG